rnacentral:rRNA from 1 species
GGGGGGUGCAAGCGUUAUUCGGAAUCACUGGGCGUAAAGAGCGCGUAGGCGGUCUCUUAAGUCAGAUGUGAAAGCCCGGGGCUCAACCCCGGAAGUGCAUUUGAAACGAAGGGACUUGAGUAUGGGGGAGGGAAGUGGAAUUCCUGGUGUAGCGGUGAAAUGCGUAGAUAUCAGGAGGAACACCGGUGGCGAUGGCGACUUCCUGGACCAAUACUGACGCUGAGGCGCGAAGGCGUGGGGAGCCAACAGGAUUAGAUACCCUGGUAGUCCACGCAGCAAACGUUGAACACUAGGUGUAGCGGGUAUUGACCCCCUGCUGUGCCGCAGCUAACGCAUUAAGUGUUCCGCCUGGGGAGUACGGCCGCAAGGCUA